rnacentral:rRNA from 1 species
AAGAAAAAGGAUGGCCUCUAUACAAAGCUAUCGCCGAAGAGGGGUUUGCGUCUGAUUAGCUGGUUGGAGGGUAACGGCCCAACAAGGCGAUGAUCAGUAGCCGGUCUGAGAGGAUGAACGGCCACAUUGGGACUGAGACACGGCCCAGACUCCUACGGGAGGCAGCAGUGGGGAAUCUUCCGCAAUGGACGAAAGUCUGACGGAGCAACGCCGCGUGAGUGAAGAAGGUCUUCGGAUUGUAAAACUCUGUUAUACGGGACGAAAAAGGCGGAUGCCAACAGUAUCCGUCCGUGACGGUACCGUAAGAGAAAGCCACGGCUAACUACGUGCCAGCAGCCGCGGUAAAU